rnacentral:rRNA from 1 species
UACGUAGGGGGCAAGCGUUGUCCGGAAUUAUUGGGCGUAAAGAGCGUGUAGGCGGCCUGAUAAGUCCGCUGUGAAAGUCCAGGGCUCAACCCUGGAAUGCCGGUGGAAACUGUCAGGCUCGAGUCCGGAGGAGGCGAGUGGAAUUCCUGGUGUAGCGGUGAAAUGCGCAGAUAUCAGGAGGAACACCGGUGGCGAAGGCGGGUCUCGUGGGCCGUAACUGACGCUGAGGAGCGAAAGCGUGGGGAGCGAACAGG